rnacentral:rRNA from 1 species
CUUUGGUCCAAAUAUCAACAGAAUCUAGAAUAAGUUUUAGACUUCUACCCAAUACUUCCUCAUCUUCGUAAGACUACCCGCUGAACUUAAGCAUAUCAAUAAGCGGAGGAAAAGAAACCAACAGGGAUUGCCUCAGUAACGGCGAGUGAAGCGGCAAAAGCUCAAAUUUGAAAUCCCCCGGGAAUUGUAAUUUGAAGGUGGCCUCAGUUAGUCCAAACAUUCUUAAGUCCAUUGGAAAAUGGCGCCAUGGAGGGUGAUAGCCCCGUAAAGAUGUCGUUUGUUCUAUUUUCUCUGGCCACCAAAGAGUCGAGUUGUUUGGGAAUGCAGCUCUAAGUGGGUGGUAAAUUCCAUCUAAAGCUAAAUAUUGGCGAGAGACCGAUAGCGAACAAGUACAGUGAUGGAAAGAUGAAAAGCACUUUGAAAAGAGAGUGAAAAAGUACGUGAAAUUGUUGAAAGGGAAGGGCUUGCAAGCAGACACAACCUCGUGUUGGGCCAGCAUCGGGGCGAGAGGAAGUAAAAACGAUUUGGAAAUGUA